rnacentral:rRNA from 1 species
UACGGAGGGUGCGAGCGUUGUUCGGAAUUACUGGGCGUAAAGCGCGUGUAGGCGGCCGAUUAAGUCUGGUGUGAAAGCCCGGGGCUCACCCCCGGAAGUGCGCUGGAAACUGGUCGGCUAGAGUAUGGGAGAGGAAAGUGGAAUUCCCGGUGUAGCGGUGAAAUUCGUAGAUAUUGGGAAGAACACCAGUGGCGAAGGCGGCUCACUGGUCCGCAACUGACGCUGAGGCGCGAAAGCGUGGGGAGCAAACAGG